AAUUCUCAAUCUUCACAGUUUUGCGCUGGUUGAAGAUUGGAUGUGGGGGUUAUUAAUGUGGGAUCUUCUUGAGGACCUACUCCCCUGAAAUAUAUUAGCUGGAAUACCUUUGCAAAUCCAACUAUCAGUGUGAUAAUUAUCUAUGCUGGAGUUGUUGCUUAAAGGACAUCUGCUUCUAAUUUACUAUCCUUCUGGAUAAUAUUGAAUCA
rnacentral:misc_RNA from 1 species